rnacentral:rRNA from 1 species
GGGUGAGUAAUGUUUGGAAAACUGCCUGAUGGAGGGGGAUAACUACUGGAAACGGUAGCUAAUACCGCAUAACGUCGCAAGACCAAAGAGGGGGACCUUCGGGCCUCUUGCCAUCGGAUGUGCCCAGAUGGGAUUAGCUAGUAGGUGGGGUAACGGCUCACCUAGGCGACGAUCCCUAGCUGGUCUGAGAGGAUGACCAGCCACACUGGAACUGAGACACGGUCCAGACUCCUACGGGAGGCAGCAGUGGGGAAUAUUGCACAAUGGGCGCAAGCCUGAUGCAGCCAUGCCGCGUGUAUGAAGAAGGCCUUCGGGUUGUAAAGUACUUUCAGCGGGGAGGAAGGGAGUAAAGUUAAUACCUUUGCUCAUUGACGUUACCCGCAGAAGAAGCACCGGCUAACUCCGUGCCAGCAGCCGCGGUAAUACGGAGGGUGCAAGCGUUAAUCGGAAUUACUGGGCGUAAAGCGCACGCAGGCGGUUUGUUAAGUCAGAUGUGAAAUCCCCGGGCUCAACCUGGGAACUGCAUCUGAUACUGGCAAGCUUGAGUCUCGUAGAGGGGGGUAGAAUUCCAGGUGUAGCGGUGAAAUGCGUAGAGAUCUGGAGGAAUACCGGUGGCGAAGGCGGCCCCCUGGACGAAGACUGACGCUCAGGUGCGAAAGCGUGGGGAGCAAACAGGAUUGGAUACCCUGGUAGUCCACGCCGUAAACGAUGUCGACUUGGAGGUUGUGCCCUUGAGGCGUGGCUUCCGGAGCUAACGCGUUAAGUCGACCGCCUGGGGAGUACGGCCGCAAGGUUAAAACUCAAAUGAAUUGACGGGGGCCCGCACAAGCGGUGGAGCAUGUGGUUUAAUUCGAUGCAACGCGAAGAACCUUACCUGGUCUUGACAUCCACGGAAGUUUUCAGAGAUGAGAAUGUGCCUUCGGGAACCGUGAGACAGGUGCUGCAUGGCUGUCGUCAGCUCGUGUUGUGAAAUGUUGGGUUAAGUCCCGCAACGAGCGCAACCCUUAUCCUUUGUUGCCAGCGGUCCGGCCGGGAACUCAAAGGAGACUGCCAGUGAUAAACUGGAGGAAGGUGGGGAUGACGUCAAGUCAUCAUGGCCCUUACGACCAGGGCUACACACGUGCUACAAUGGCGCAUACAAAGAGAAGCGACCUCGCGAGAGCAAGCGGACCUCAUAAAGUGCGUCGUAGUCCGGAUUGGAGUCUGCAACUCGACUCCAUGAAGUCGGAAUCGCUAGUAAUCGUGGAUCAGAAUGCCACGGUGAAUACGUUCCCGGGCCUUGUACACACCGCCCGUCACACCAUGGGAGUGGGUUGCAAAAGAAGAAGGUAGCUUAACCUUCGGGAGGGCGCUUACCACUUUGUGAUUCAUGACUGGGGUGAAGUCGUAACAAGGUA